rnacentral:rRNA from 1 species
UACGGAGGGGGCUAGCGUUGUUCGGAAUUACUGGGCGUAAAGCGCGCGUAGGCGGCUUUGUAAGUUAGAGGUGAAAGCCCGGGGCUCAACCCCGGAACUGCCUUUAAGACUGCAUCGCUUGAAUCCAGGAGAGGUGAGUGGAAUUCCGAGUGUAGAGGUGAAAUUCGUAGAUAUUCGGAAGAACACCAGUGGCGAAGGCGACUCACUGGACAUGUAUUGACGCUGAGGUGCGAAAGCGUGGGGAGCAAACAGG